rnacentral:sRNA from 1 species
CAUGUGGGGAAGGAUGAGAAGCUUCGACUAAGGUUCGAUUCGAGCGCAGCGAGAAAGCGUUGCCGCAGGCAACGACCCGAAGGGCGAAGCGCGCAGCGCUGAGUAAUCCUUCCCCUACCACCA